rnacentral:rRNA from 1 species
AUUGAACGCUAGCGGGAUGCUUUACACAUGCAAGUCGAACGAGUGGCGGACGGGUGAGUAAUAUAUCGGAACGUGCCCGGUAGCUGGGGAUCACUACUCGAAAGUGUGGCUAAUACCGCAUACUAUUGGAUCGGCCGGUAUCGGAUUAGUUAGUUGGUGGGGUAAAGGCUCACAAAGGCAACGAUCCGUAGCUGGUGUGAGAGGAUGAUCAGCAAACCUGGGAACGAGACAGGGUCCAGCAUCCGACGGGAGGCAGCAGUGGGGAAUAGUGCACAAUGGGCGAAAGCCUGAUGCAGCCAUGCGGCGUGUAUGAAGAAGGCCCUAGGGUUGUAAAGUACUUUCAGCCGGGAGGCGUUACCGACAGAAGAAGCACCGGCUAACGCCGUGCCAGCAGCCGCGGUAAUAC